UUUGAAUUGAAUAUAAUCCAUUUUUAAUUAUUGAAAAUGCACACUCGUUUAGCAGACGAGUCAUCAAUAGCGUGGUCAUCCGUCAUCUUAAUAACACACAACUUGGAUAUUAUUUCACUCUUUGGGAUUUUGCAUCGUUUAUUUGUAGCUUAAUGCCAGACCAGCUCUGAUUGGAUUUGUAUCAUUCUCUUCCACUUACGAUGGACGCUUAAAAGAUUCUUAAUUCAGCAAGAUUCACCAUGAUUAUCCAGCCAGUUAUUCAUCACAUGAUGCAGUUGUUGUUGGUGCUCGUGGAGCUGGAUUUUGUGCAGAUUUUGGUUGACUCGCAGGCAUCAUAAAUCUUCAAUAGGUGUUGUUCGAUCUUGAUGAAAUGAAUCCUAUCAAGUUACGUUAUAGGGCACAGGAAUCCCUUUCUGGAAGUCCACUGCUUUCAAGGCACUCUUCCGAUUAAAAACAUGUAAGAUAAAGGCUCCCUAGGGAAUAUGUGUUGAAAGCGGCAAAACUCUUCUGAUGGUACCAUCAAAGAGAGAGAAAGACAUCAGAUGAACAUCGAGAUCCCACCACCACCCCCCAGACCAGAAUUUGAUAGUUCUAGGGAGAAGUUGCACAAACUUGGAGAAGGAGAGGGUUCAAUGACGGCAAAGGAAUUCAAUAAGAUGAAGCUAAAGCUAGAAGCGGAGGCUUUGGCCACAUAAAAAAAAACAGUUGCUAUGCAUGAAGUUUUCUUAAGCAGACUGGAGAAUCAUCCCAUAUUCAGAGCUGAUACGAACUUUCGUGUUUUUCUUGAAUACGAACCAGAUUUGUCCGUACGAGGAAAAAACAAAAAGGAGAAACUGUUAGAUCAUUUUCUACAACGACUGAGAGAUAUUGCUUGGGUCUACAUAAAAGGAGGUUGACGAGUUUUUCGACAAGGAAAAGAACUUUAUCCUAGAUUAUUAAUCACCGUUAAAAGAUGCAACCCUUAGGGCUGACAAGUUGACCGAAGCUCAUAAAGGUACGUAUUUGUUUAAAAAGUUGUUGAGUUUGACAGGACAGGAUAAUAAACUUUGUUUGGACUAGA